rnacentral:rRNA from 1 species
GACGGAGGGGGCUAGCGUUGUUCGGAAUGACUGGGCGUAAAGGGCGCGUAGGCGGUUUUUUAAGUGAGGCGUGAAAGCCCUGGGCUUAACCCAGGAGGUGCGUUUCAUACUGAAAGACUUGAGUGCGAGAGAGGAAAGUGGAAUUCCUAGUGUAGAGGUGAAAUUCGUAGAUAUUAGGAAGAACACCAGUGGCGAAGGCGGCUUUCUGGCUCGUAACUGACGCUGAGGCGCGAAAGCGUGGGGAGCAAACAGG